rnacentral:rRNA from 1 species
CGGUAAUUCCAGCUCCAAUAGCGUAUAUUAAAGUUGUUGCGGUUAAAACGCUCGUAGUUGGAGUUCUGCCAAAAGUGGCCGGUCUACCCUCCGUGGUUUGCACAGGGCAACUUUCGGCAUCAUCCUGGGAAACUUGUAUGCACUUUACUGUGUGACCUUGGGAUCCAGGACUUUUACUUUGAAGAAAUGAGAGUGUUUCAAGCAGGCGAAUGCCUUGAAUACGUUAGCAUGGAAUAAUAGCAUCGGACCUCUUCCCAACGCUGUUGGUUCAUUGGAGUGAGGUAAUGAUAAACAGGGAUAGCUGGGGGCAUCCGUAUUUAACUGUCAGAGGUGAAAUUCUUGGAUUUGUUAAAGACGAACUACUGCGAAAGCAUCUGCCAAGGAUGUUCUCAUUGAUCAAGAACGAAAGUUAGGGGAUCGAAGACGAUCAGAUACCGUCCUAGUCUUAACCAUAAACUAUGCCGACUAGAGAUUGGGGGUAGUACAUUAUUUUGACUCCUCCAGCAUCUUGGGAGAAAUCAGAGUCUUUGGGUUCCGGGGGGAGUAUGGUCGCAAGGCUGAAACUUAAAGGAAUUGACGGAAGGGCACCACCAGGAGUGGAGCCUGCGGCUUAAUUUGACUCAACACGGGGAAACUUACCAGGUCCAGACAUAGUAAGGAUUGACAGACUGAAAGCUCUUUCUUGAUUCUAUGGGUGGUGGUGCAUGGCCGUUCUUAGUUGGUGGAGUGAUUUGUCAGGUUAAUUCCGUUAACGAACGAGACCUUAGCCUGUUAAAUAGUGUCCAGGACCAUUGGUUCUAGGUGAUCACUUCUUAGAGGGACUUCAUGGCUUUAACAUGAGGAAGUGUGAGGCAAUAACAGGUCUGUGAUGCCCUUAGAUGUCCUGGGCUGCACGCGCGCUACACUGAUGCGUUCAACAAGUAUAGAACCUUUUCUUGGAAGGAAUAGGUAAUCUUGUUAAAUCGCAUCGUGAUGGGGAUAGUUUAUUGCAAUUUUUAAUCUUCAACGAGGAAUUCCUAGUAACCGUGAGUCAUCAACUUGCGAUGACUACGUCCCUGCUCUUUGUACACACCGCCCGUCGCUCCUACCGAUUGAGUGGUCCGGUGAAUAAUUCGGACUGCGAUUUUUUCCGUCAGGAUAUUUUUGCAGGAAAUCUAGUGAACCUUAUCACUUAGAGGAAGGAGAAGUCGUAACAAGGUAGCCG